rnacentral:rRNA from 1 species
CCUACGGGAGGCAGCAGUGGGGAAUAUUGGGCAAUGGAGGAAACUCUGACCCAGCAACGCCGCGUGAAUGAUGAAGGUCUUCGGAUUGGAAAGUUCUUUUCUAAGGGAAGAAGAAAGUGACGGUCCCUUAGGACUAAGCCUCGGCUAACUACGUGCCAGCAGCCGCGGUAAUACGGCGGAUGCGAGCGUUAUCCGGAAUGACUGGGUGUAAAGGGUGCGUAGGUGGUUUGGCAAGUUAGUAGCGUAACUCAAAGGCUCAACCUUGGAAUUACUACUAAUACUGUUGGGCUUGAGUGCAGGAGGGGUAAGCGGAAUGUCUGGUGUAGCGGGGGAAUGCGUAGAUAUUAGGAGGAACACCAGUGGCGAAGGCGGGUUGCUAGACUGUAACUGACACUGAGGCACGAAAGCGUGGGGAGCAAACAGGAUUAGAUACCCGGGUAGUC